UCCUACGGGAGGCAGCAGUGGGGAAUAUUGCACAAUGGGCGCAAGCCUGAUGCAGCCAUGCCGCGUGUAUGAAGAAGGCCUUCGGGUUGUAAAGUACUUUCAGCGAGGAGGAAGGCAUUAAGGUUAAUAACCUUAGUGAUUGACGUUACUCGCAGAAGAAGCACCGGCUAACUCCGUGCCAGCAGCCGCGGUAAUACGGAGGGUGCAAGCGUUAAUCGGAAUUACUGGGCGUAAAGCGCACGCAGGCGGUUUGUUAAGUCGGAUGUGAAAUCCCCGGGCUCAACCUGGGAACUGCAUUCGAAACUGGCAAGCUUGAGUCUUGUAGAGGGGGGUAGAAUUCCAGGUGUAGCGGUGAAAUGCGUAGAGAUCUGGAGGAAUACCGGUGGCGAAGGCGGCCCCCUGGACAAAGACUGACG
rnacentral:rRNA from 1 species